rnacentral:rRNA from 1 species
GACGAACGCUGGCGGCGUGCUUAACACAUGCAAGUCGAACGGUGAAGCGCCUUCCUUUUUGGUGGGUGUGGAUGAGUGGCGAACGGGUGAGUAACACGUGAGUAACCUGCCCCCUUCUUCUGGAUAACCGCAUGAAAGUGUGGCUAAUACGGGAUAUUCUGGGUCUGUCGCAUGAUGGGUCUGGGAAAGAUAUUGUUUCGGUGGGGGAUGGGCUCGCGGCCUAUCAGCUUGUUGGUGGGGUGAUGGCCUACCAAGGCGGUGACGGGUAGCCGGCCUGAGAGGAUGGACGGUCACACUGGGACUGAGACACGGCCCAGACUCCUACGGGAGGCAGCAGUGGGGAAUAGUGCACAAUGGGCGCAAGCCUGAUGCAGCGACGCCGCGUGAGGGAUGGAGGCCUUCGGGUUGUGAACCUCUUUCGCCAGUGAAGCAGGCCUGCCUCGUUUGUGGGUGGGUUGACGGUAGCUGGAUAAGAAGCGCCGGCUAACUACGU